CGCGUAGGCGGCCUUCUAAGUCGAACGUGAAAUCCCCGGGCUUAACCCGGGAACUGCGUCCGAGACUGAAAGGCUUGAAUCCGGGAGAGGGAUGUGGAAUUCCAGGUGUAGCGGUGAAAUGCGUAGAUAUCUGGAGGAACAUCGGUGGCGAAGGCGGCAUCCUGGACCGGUAUUGACGCUGAGGCGCGAAAGCCAGGGGAGCAAACG
rnacentral:rRNA from 1 species